rnacentral:rRNA from 1 species
UCCUACGGGGCGCAGCAGUGGGGAAUAUUGCACAAUGGGGGGAACCCUGAUGCAGCGACGCCGCGUGAGUGAAGAAGUAUUUCGGUACGUAAAGCUCUAUCAGCAGGGAAGAAAAAAGGACGGUACCUGAGUAGGAAGCCCCGGCUAACUACGUGCCAGCAGCCGCGGUAAUACGUAUGGGGCAAGCGUUAUCCGGAUUUACUGGGUGUAAAGGGAGCGUAGGCGGCAGGGCAAGCCUGAUGUGAAAGCCCGGGGCUCAACCCCGGGACUGCAUUGGGAACUGCCCCGCUCGAGUGCCGGAGGGG